CCCUUUAUAUGUUUUCAAGAUCAACAUGAUUUCUCAUAAAAGUUAAAGUGUCUUAUAUAAAUAGGUGGAAGUGUUCAAUAGGGGCAACCUAAGAUCAUAUGUAUGACGUUUUUUUUAUUUUAAUAAUUUUUGUAAUUGUGAUACAUAUGUUCUCAGGUCGCCCCUGUUGAACUAUUUUCCAUCAUUUGAUUGAAUAAGAUUUUUGAUCGAGAUUGUUGGUGUUGGCGAUGUUGGAUUUGAUUCACUAUCUCGAUUUAUUUUAAAAGAUUGACCAAGGUAAUUUUUCAUCCCAAUAUUGGUCCAGUUUCCUUUUGCAAUGGGUGAGAGUAAGUUUAUGGCCCAAUUAUAUUUGGACUUAAGCCCAAUUAUUACCAGAGGCAUGACAAAUGUACAGACUUAUUGCUUUAUUCAUUUUCCCUAUGAACUUUUCAAUAAGAAUUAGAAAACUGGGAUUAUAAUGCAUAUAUAUAUAUAUAUAUAUAUAUACUAGUUUUAGUGUACGUGCGUUGCACGUGUAUUUUGUGCCUAUUAAUUAAAAAAUAUAUAGAAUAUUGAAUACGAAUGAAUUAUUAUAAUAGCAAUUGAUGUAGAGAUAUAUACAACGAUCAUUUAAAUUAAAAAAAAUACUUUAUCUGAAAAUAUAAUUGUAUUGACAAAAUUAAAUUCUAGGGAUAACUUCAAGCUAGAAGUACUUUGGCCAUGUUUAUGGGAAAAUUUACUUUUUUCAGCUUCUACCACUAUUCGAAAGUACCUCAAAACACCUUAACUCUCCAAAAUAAGCACAUUUAAAAAGAAAUAUUUAUCUUUGACUUCCCAAAAACUUGGCCAAACAGACUGGCUUACAUAUUUGGAUGUGAGCAAUGUGGUGAGAAUCGACA